GGAAGCGUGCCCGAAAGACAAGGACCUCCUUGAUAGGGAGGGUUAUAGGGGUUCGAACCCCCUCACUUCC
rnacentral:tRNA from 1 species